rnacentral:rRNA from 1 species
CCGAACGAACGCUGACGGCGUACUUAACACAUGCAAGUCGAACGAGAAAGGGGACUUCGGUUCCUGAGUAAAGUGGCGCACGGGUGCGUAACACGUAAGUAAUCUACCCCAGACUCUGGGAUAACGUCUCGAAAGGGACGCUAAAACCAGACAGUGUCCUUGAGUCAAAAGAUGCAAGGGGAAAAUAUGCCUUUAUAAGGCAUAUGGUCUGGGAUGAGCUUGCGGCCCAUUAGCUAGUUGGUAAGGUAAUGGCUUACCAAGGCGAUGACGGGUAGCUGGUCUGAGAGGACGACCAGCCACACUGGAACUGAGACACGGUCCAGACACCUGCGGGUGGCAGCAGUCGAGAAUUUUUCACAAUGGGGGCAACCCUGAUGGAGCGACGCCGCGUGGAGGAUGAAGGUCUUCGGAUUGUAAACUCCUGUCACCCCAGAACAAGGCCCGCGGGUUAACAGCCGCGCGGGAUGGAUGGUAUGGGGAGAGGAAGAGACGGCUAACUCUGUGCCAGCAGCCGCGGUAAUACAGAGGUCUCAAGCGUUGUUCGGAUUUACUGGGCGUAAAGGGUGCGUAGGAGGUUUUCUAAGUCUGGUGUGAAAGGCCGGGGCUCAACCCCGGUAUGGCAUUGGAUACUGGAAGACUAGAGGGCCGGAGAGGUCGCUGGAAUUCUCGGUGUAGCGGUGAAAUGCGUAGAGAUCGAGAGGAACUCCGAUGGCGAAGGCAAGCGACUGGAAGGCGCCUGACUCUGAGGCACGAAAGCCAGGGGAGCAAACGGGAUUAGAUACCCCGGUAGUCCUGGCCGUAAACGUUGCGCAUUGGGUGUGGGGGGAAUCGACCCCCUCCGCGCCGAAGCUAACGCGAUAAAUGCGCCGCCUGGGAAGUACGGUCGCAAGAUUAAAACUCAAAGAAAUUGACGGGGGCCCGCACAAGCGGUGGAGUAUGUGGCUUAAUUCGAUGCAACGCGAAGAACCUUACCUGGCCUUGACAUGCGUUGUUCAACUGUGGAAACACAGUGGCCCGCAAGGGCGAAGCGCACAGGUGCUGCAUGGCUGUCGUCAGCUCGUGUCGUGAGAUGUUGGGUUAAGUCCCGCAACGAGCGCAACCCUCGUGGCUAUUUGAUUUAUCUAUAGCCAGACUGCCCUGCUAUAACGGGGAGGAAGGUGGGGAUGACGUCAAGUCAGGAUGGCCCUUACGGCCAGGGCUGCACACGUACUACAAUGCCCGACACAGAGGGAAGCAAGACCGCGAGGUGGAGCCAAUCCCUUAAAACCGGGCCCAGUUCGGAUUGAAGGCUGCAACUCGCCUUCAUGAAGCCGGAAUCGCUAGUAA